rnacentral:rRNA from 1 species
GAAUAUUGGACAAUGGGGGCAACCCUGAUCCAGCCAUGCCGCGUGUGUGAAGAAGGCCUUCGGGUUGUAAAGCACUUUCAGUAGGGAGGAAGGCUCGGUAGCGAAUAACUGCCGGGAUUGACGUUACCUACAGAAGCAGCACCGGCUACCUUCGUGCCAGCAGCCGCGGUAAUACGAAGGGUGCAAGCGUUAAUCGGAAUUACUGGGCGUAAAGCGCGCGUAGGCGGUUUAGUAAGUGUGAUGUGAAAGCCCCGGGCUCAACCUGGGAACUGCAUCCCAUACUGCUAGGCUAGAGUACGGUAGAGGGGGGUAGAAUUCCACGUGUAGCGGUGAAAUGCGUAGAGAUGUGGAGGAAUACCAGUGGCGAAGGCGGCCCCCUGGAUCGAUACUGACGCUGAGGUGCGAAAGCGUGGGGAGCAAACAG